UGGGGAAUAUUGCACAAUGGGCGCAAGCCUGAUGCAGCCAUGCCGCGUGUGUGAAGAAGGCCUUCGGGUUGUAAAGCACUUUCAGCGAGGAGGAAGGUGGUGAGCUUAAUACGCUCACCAAUUGACGUUACUCGCAGAAGAAGCACCGGCUAACUCCGUGCCAGCAGCCGCGGUAAUACGGAGGGUGCAAGCGUUAAUCGGAAUUACUGGGCGUAAAGCGCACGCAGGCGGUUUGUUAAGUCAGAUGUGAAAUCCCCGGGCUCAACCUGGGAACUGCAUUUGAAACUGGCAAGCUAGAGUCUCGUAGAGGGGGGUAGAAUUCCAGGUGUAGCGGUGAAAUGCGUAGAGAUCUGGAGGAAUACCGGUGGCGAAGGCGGCCCCCCUGGACGAAGACUGACGCUCAGGUGCGAAAGCGUGGGGCAGCAAACAGGAUUAGAUACCCUGGUAGUCCACGCUGUAAACGAUGUCGAUUUGGAGGUUGUGCCCCUUGAGGCGUGGCUUCCGGAGCUAACGCGUUAAAUCGACCGCCUGGGGAGUACGGCCGCAAGGUUAAAACUCAAAUGAAUUG
rnacentral:rRNA from 1 species